CAGUAGCCACGGUAAUACGGAGGAUCCGAGCGUUAUCCGGAAUUAUUGGGUUUAAAGGGUGCGUAGGCGGAUAGAUAAGUCAGUGGUGAAAGGCGGUGGCUCAACCAUCGCAGUGCCGUUGAUACUGUUUAUCUUGAAUAUGGAUGAGGUAGGCGGAAUGUGGCAAGUAGCGGUGAAAUGCAUAGAUAUGCCACAGAACACCGAUUGCGAAGGCAGCUUACCAAGGCAAAAUUGACGCUGAGGCACGAAAGCGUGGGGAUCGAACAGGAUUAGAUACCCCAGUAGUCCCUGUCUCUUAUAA
rnacentral:rRNA from 1 species